UCAUGAUGCUUUUGUGUGUAUUAUGGGAUUGUAUUUAUGGCCUUGUCCCUGCAUUGUGGAUGUCAAGGGUCAGUUGCCACGUGCUUAGUCAUAUACCUAAACUCAGGGAACACACACACGCAUGCUUAUGGACUCACACACACUCACACUCUUACCCACACUCAUUCUAGCCACACUCACACUCAUAUAUACUCACCAAUACGCUCACACUCACACAUAUCCUUACACACCCACACUCUCACAUACCCUUACACACGCACACACACCCUUACACACUCACACUCACGCUAGCCACUCACUCAUAUGUAUCACCAGUAUGCUCACGCAUGUACCCUUACACACCCACACUCAUACUAGCCAUACUCACACUCAUAUAUACCAAUAAGCUCACACACAUACCCUCCCACACUCACACAUACCCUUACACACUCACACAUACUCUUACACGCCCACACCCACACACAUACCCUUACACACCCACACAUACCCUUACACACCCACACUCACCCUAGCCACUCAUAUAUACUCACCAAUAAGCUCACACAUGCAUAGCCUUACACACACAUCCUUACCCACAUUUACACACACUCAUACCCUUACACUGUCACACUCACAUGUACCCUUACACACCCACUCUCACACACACCCUUACCCACACUCUCACACACCCUUACACACCCACACUCUCACACACACCUUUACACACCCACUCACACACAUACCCUUACACACCCCCACACACCCUUAUACACCCACACUCACACUCUAGCUACACCCACACUCAUAUAUAGUCACCAAUAUGCUCACACUCUCACACUCACAUGCUGUCGUGCUCGCUCACACUCAUACCGUUGCACACUCACAUGCUCUCACACACUCUCACGGUGAAAUCUGUGCCUGCCACCACACUCGGGUUGUGAUGUGUGUUUCACUUUUAGCUCCUCUAAGGUUUUACUCACCCUGGCUCCACCAAACUGGAUUUUACCAUAGUCUAUACUUAAAUAUUGUUCAUCUCUUCUUCUACACAAAAGUAUUAAGAAUUUACCUGCCUGUAAGUUAUUGGAAUAUCCUGGGCAAAAGCAAAUAAAACUUUUCCUUUUCCCUUGUUCGACACCCCCUCAUCAGUGACCCCCACGACACGACCCCACCACCCUAUCUUUUCCCUUGUUUGACACCCCCUCAUCAGUGACCCCCACGACACGACCCCACCACCCUAUCUGGCUUGGCAUGUGAUGCUUCAGGAAGGGCACGGGGUUUACAUGGCUCCUGUUACCCUCUAAGCCUCAGAAAACAUUGGCACAGGCAGAGAGGAGAGCUGUCAUCUGAGUCUCUCUGUGGGAUCCUGGGCUCUUAGGGAAAGGCCAGACAGGGAGGGGCGGGAGAGAUUUCUGUGGCCUCCAAGAUUCCUGGGAAGGCGAAGUCUGGAUUUCCUUGGAGAGGAAGGAGGGCUUAGGCCAGCCACAUAAUUAGGGUGCAGUAGACAAACAGAAAUCAUUUCUUUUGGUCCCUCAUCUGCCUCAAGGCUGCGUUUGCUCCACAUGGCCGCACAGGCACUUGCGUCUGUGCCCUUCGGGGCUGGCAGAGAUGGAGGAGGAAGCCUUAAGCACCGUCUCUCCUGAUUAGCGCUCCACGCAGCUUCUCUUCACAGCCCCUCCCACCCACUGUGUCCCACUACUCAGACACAUGGGCCGUGGGCACAGAGGGAAAGGGACCUUGGGAAGAAUAGGGAGCCAAGCCACUCUUCACCCUCCCGGGUGUCGCCCAUAGUGGGGCACAUGGGGACACAGUGGCCACUCACCCCCUGCCACUGAGUCCCACAGUGCAGCUGCGCCUGUGGUCAGAUGCCACAGGGACACCAUAGCAUCCGUAGAGUGUGUCAUUUGCUUGGUGCACGAGGGCCGGAUGAUGUCCCCAGAGGCUCACUGGCUUCCCACAGCACAGAGGGACCUGGCACCGCUACCCCAAGAUGGAAUUGUUAAAACUACGUCCAUUUUUAUUUUUAAAAGUAUGAUGUCAAUGCAUAGAAUAAAAAUUGCUUUCUGUCAGAUGCUUCUUUAUUCAAGCCCCUAAAGAAAUGUUUUCUUGCCUAAGACAGCUCAUAUUAAAAUGUCUAAAGCCCAAAAGAAGUCUAAUAAAUUUCAGCUUUAUGACUUUGUUUACUCUGGGUGUAGAAAAAGAAGUCUUUUAUACGUAGCCUAGUUUCCAGAACUUCCAGGGUCAAAAGUUAACAAAUUUGGGGAAAACAGAAGAGAAAAGAUAGCAUACAGUAUUCUGUUUUCCUAUUAAAAUGAGGAAAACAAAGGAGUCAUCAGAACUAUAAUUUAUGGGAAAGUGUGCAGACAUCCAUCUGCUUUUAUUGAAAAAAUACCCUGCAGAUGUUGGGCCUAAUUAUGAAUCCUCCAUUUUCUUGGUGAAAAACUUUAGUGGCAUCUCAAUCUCUGAUCGGUAAACUGGGUGUCGUAGCACUUACAAAAUAGAAUUAUUUCAUUGAUCUUUAGCCAUCUAUUAUUUUUUUGUAGAUGAGAGAGCAUUCAGCAUGAAGGCUGUUUCUAUCUGAAUACUAAAUGUUGGUUUCAUUCCCACAGGUUCACAGCAAACAGGAUUCCUAAAUGCCCUUAAGGACAGUCCUGCAAGCGUCCUGGAGGCUGUGGUGUGCUUCUUCUCUGUCUGGUCCAUCGUUGGCCUCUCAGGAUUCCACACCUACUUGAUCAGCUCCAACCAGACGACAAAUGAGGACAUUAAAGGAUCCUGGUCAAAUAAAAGAGGUAAAGAAAAUUACAAUCCCUACAGCUACGGAAAUAUCUUUACCAACUGCUGUGUUGCCCUGUGUGGGCCCAUCUCACCAAGCCUAAUCGACAGAAGAGGGUACAUCCAGCCCGACACGCCGCAGCCAGCAGCACCCUCCAAUGGCAUCACCAUGUACGGGGCCACGCAGUCACAGAGUGACAUGGCCGCGGCCACGCCCCUGCUGCAGAGCGAGCCCAGCCUCACCAGCGACGAGCUGCACCUGCCCGGGAAGCCUGGCCUGGGCACGCCCUGCGCCAGCCUCACACUGGGCCCGCCCACACCGCCCGCCUCCAUGCCCAACCUCGCCGAGGCCACGCUCGCGGACGUGAUGCCCCGGAAAGAUGAGCACAUGGGCCACCAGUUCCUGACGCCUGAUGAGGCGCCCUCGCCCCCCAGGCUACUGGCGGCGGGCAGCCCCCUGGCGCACAGCCGCACCAUGCACGUGCUGGGCCUGGCCAGCCAGGACACCCUGCACGAGGACUCUGUGCGCGGCCUGGUGAAGCUCAGCUCCGUGUGACCCACGUGGCCCCGGGCCGGGGGGCACCAGAGGCUCCUCCACGGGCAGCAGGAGUGAGCGGAGGGGUGUGUCCCACAGCGACUUUCCCAGCCAAUGCCACGGUGGAGAUGACAGCCCCAGGUCUGGGGUGCAGAGACCACUUAGGAUGGCACAGGGUGGCUGGUCCCGGAUGCUGAGAGCUUGGUUUCAUUUGAAUUUUCUUCCCCAACCUGAGUGCUUUGACAACAAUGGAAAUAGAGAAGCGGCUGCUUUCUUUUGGUGACCCUCCAGGGGUGGAAUCGGAGUGUGUCUGCCCGCCCUUGUGACAGACACACGGAAGGCUUCUGACGCUUGUGGCCAGACUGCAAUUGCACUUACGUGUUAUGCUACUAAUAUUUGAAACAGACCUGCCAUUCCAUUUGUUAAUU
rnacentral:sRNA from 1 species